AGAGAGAGACAGAGAGAGAGAGAGAGAGAGAGAGAGAGAGAGGCCCUUUAUGCAAAGGGAUCCCCAUUUUUUCAAAAAAAUGGGAUUAGGUGUGGGGCCCACUCCACUUCGAAUUUUAACGAUCCGAACCGUCUAUUUUGUAAGUCUCGAUUCAUAGAUCAUCCUUGAAAAAAUUCAAUUCAAUCCAAAACCAUUUGCCUAUUUAAUUAUCAAAAUCAAAUUUCAUUGUUUUUUAUAUAACAAAGUAUUCGUUCAUUUCUUUUAACCUAAUUAGAUGUCUUAAUUAUUUCUGAUUUAACUAAUAUUUUGUAAGGGUGAUUUAUGAGGUACAACUUGAAAAAUAGACGGUUCGGAUCAUUAAAGUUCGAUGUGGUGUGGACCCCACAACUAAUCCCCAUUUUUAUAAA
rnacentral:lncRNA from 1 species